GAAAACUGAGACCCAGUGAUGUGCUGCUGAAGUCUCUAAUAACACAUCAUGCCCACAGUACCUGCUGAAAACCCACUGAAAGGCCAGCAGGAAGAGUCAGAGGGAAUUCAGCCUCACCCCAGUCCUAGCUGUGAAACAAGCAGGGUAAGCAAACAGCCUUGCUAACUCAAGCAGAGGCAAAGCAGGAUGUUUGCUGGCAUUGCCCCCCAUGCAGCCUGUUUCUGACAGCUCGCAGCUUUGCCAUUUUGUGCCUUGCUGUUUGCUGGGGUGGGGUUUUUACUCCCAAAGAUAAUUCUGUAACUGCAAACCUGUUUUUUCCCUGAACGUUAGGUGCUCACACGUGUGCUUUGCUCCUGUCUGCAGUGAGAAGACAACCCUGCCUGUCCUAGCAGAUGGCUCCACACAUGUAUGGAGAGAACAUUAAGCAAAGCCAUGAACAAGGUUUCCCUGAGCAGUACUGGUGGCUCUGGCUGUGGGGCUGGAAGUUUGAUGACAGUUGUGAGUGACCGUCGUGCCUGAGUGGGCCAGCUGAAGGUGCAGGGAGGAGACUCUGAGGGCAUUGGCAAGGCAGCACAGAAGUGAAUCUGACCUGACUGUCCAUAUGGAGUCUGGCACCUGCACCGGCUUUCAGCCUCCCCCAGCCUCUGUCUCAGAGAAAUAAAAGAGGCAUCUUGGCUUCUUCCUUCCCCAGCACGUACCCUGGCAAUGGAGAAAGGUCAGUAAUAGUUUUCCUUUCCCUUCUUCUUUCCCGUUCCUAUUGUCUGGCACAAGGAGCCCUUGCAAAUCCAAUUUAUGUAUUCAUUUCUCAUUCUUGAUGGUGCAGCUGAAGCACUAACUCGUGCCAUGGGGAAUGAGCAGUGGUAGAAGACCUCGGGGACCUGGAGCCAUGCAGACACUGAUGGAUUGUGCAAGUCAGGAGAGUAAAGGAGCAGCGCUCUCCAUAUUUAAAGGUGAUAGAGGCCACCAGGAAGAAACAAGUAAGAGAGCUGACCAAAUAUUCUUGAAUGCCACUGUCCAGUCAGUUUCAAAAGUGAAGUGUUCUCUUUGGCGUAACACGUUGGUAAGUUCCUUGUCUUCUUUUGGAUGCCUGUAA
rnacentral:lncRNA from 1 species